rnacentral:rRNA from 1 species
UACGUAGGGGGCAAGCGUUGUCCGGAAUUAUUGGGCGUAAAGCGCGUGUAGGCGGUCCACUAAGUCGGCUGUGAAAGUCCAGGGCUCAACCCUGGGAUGCCGGUCGAUACUGGAUGGCUAGAGUCUGGUAGGGGGAUCUGGAAUUCCUGGUGUAGCGGUGGGAUGCGCAGAUAUCAGGAGGAACACCGGUGGCGAAGGCGGGAUCCUGGGCCAGUACUGACGCUGAGGAGCGAAAGCGUGGGGAGCGAACAGG